AUUGGAUCCAGACUUUGAUUAUGGCUCAGGAUGAACGCUAGCGGCAGGCUUAACACAUGCAAGUCGAGGGGCAGCGCGGGGUAGCAAUACUCUGGCGGCGACCGGCGGAAGGGUGCGUAACACGUGAGCGACUUGCCCGUCACAGGGAGAUAACCGCUGGAAACGGCGACUAAUAUCCCAUAUGAUGACGAUCUGCAUGGAUCGUCAUUGAAAGAUUCAUCGGUGACGGAUAGGCUCGCGGGGCAUUAGCUAGACGGCGGGGCAACGGCCCACCGUGGCGACGAUGCCUAGGGGUUCUGAGAGGAAGACCCCCCACACUGGGACUGAGACACGGCCCAGACUCCUACGGGAGGCAGCAGUGAGGAAUAUUGGUCGAUGGGCGGAAGCCUGAACCAGCCAUGCCGCGUGAAGGACUAAGGCCCUAUGGGUCGUAAACUUCUUUAGACGCAGGGCAAUAAGGGUCUCGAGAGAUCCGAUGAGAGUAUGCGUAGAAUAAGCAUCGGCUAACUCCGUGCCAGCAGCCGCGGUAAUACGGGGGAUGCGAGCGUUAUCCGGAUUUAUUGGGUUUAAAGGGUGCGUAGGCGGAAGUGCAAGUCAGCGGUGAAAUCCCCGCGCUCAACGCGGGAGUUGCCGUUGAUACUGUACAUCUGGAAUGCCCUUGCCGUGGGAGGAAUGAGUAGUGUAGCGGUGAAAUGCAUAGAUAUUACUCAGAACACCGAUUGCGAAGGCAUCUCACGAAGGGGCGAUUGACGCUGAGGCACGAAAGCGUGGGUAUCGAACAGGAUUAGAUACCCUGGUAGUCCACGCAGUAAACGAUGAUGGCUAACUGUCGGGUCUUAGGAUUCGGCGGCCAAGCGAAAGCGAUAAGCCAUCCACCUGGGGAGUACGACCGCAAGGUUGCAACUCAAAGGAAUUGACGGA
rnacentral:rRNA from 1 species